rnacentral:tRNA from 1 species
CCGAUAAGGGGCUUUUGAGUUUU